GACGAACGCUGGCGGCGUGCUUAACACAUGCAAGUCGAACGGAAAGGCCCUGCUUUUGUGGGGUGCUCGAGUGGCGAACGGGUGAGUAACACGUGAGUAACCUGCCCUUGACUUUGGGAUAACUUCAGGAAACUGGGGCUAAUACCGGAUAGGAGCUCCUGCUGCAUGGUGGGGGUUGGAAAGUUUCGGCGGUUGGGGAUGGACUCGCGGCUUAUCAGCUUGUUGGUGGGGUAGUGGCUUACCAAGGCUUUGACGGGUAGCCGGCCUGAGAGGGUGACCGGCCACAAGGGGACUGAGGGAGGGCCCAGACGCGUACGGGGGGAAGUGGUGGGGAAUAUGGCGGAGUGGGGGGAAGCGUGAGGCAGAGACGCCGGGUGCGGGAUGACGGCCUUCGGGUGAUAAACCGCUUUCGCCGGAGACAAAGCGUGAUUGACGGUAAGGGAUAAGAAAGCACCGGCUAACUACGUG
rnacentral:rRNA from 1 species